UACAUACAUUAAAUUCAGAAC
ensembl:piRNA 21ur-2659 ncRNA